UGCCAGCUGCUGAGGAGAAUGAGCUUGGAGCUGCUGGGCUUAACCCGGCGCGGCUCAGAGGUGGGAUGCUGAAGGAUUUGGGGAGGCAGCUGCAACAGGGCAUCACUCACUGUCCAAGUGUUUCCGUUUCUGAGCGCAAAAAGAAGAACUUAAGCGGGCGUCAGUUGGAGUUUAAAUUGCUUUGUAGUAUUUAAAAGCAGCGUGGAUCGUGGGCAGCUUGAGCUGCAGUCAACCAACAGGACUUCCUAUGAAAUCACUGACCACCGUGUGCUCCUCCAGCCUCUUUUAACUCCUGAUUCUAGGAGCCUGAGAACUAAAGAGAACCACAAAGAGCCACAAGCACUCACCCUCAACCCUGAUGAAGCAGUUCACAAAGGAAGUCUCACAUGGAUGAAAGCUAUCUAUAGCUAUCUCUACCCUUUCACCAGAGCCUAAACAGGGCACAUGGUAGACACUCAAUAAACAAGGUAAUUUUCUAUUUCAGCUCUAAGAUAAUACUUAAUUGAGGAGUGGUACCAGAACUCAUUUUUUGGAACAUGGGUGUAAGCAGCAGUCUCCAAGAUGAUGCCUCCAGUGAUCCCCACCUCCUGAUAUUUGUACUCUGUGUAUUUCCCUCCCCUUGAGUGUGGCUGAUUUAUUGACUUGCUUCUAAUGAAUAGGAUAAGGCAAAAGUGAUAGGUUG
rnacentral:lncRNA from 1 species